rnacentral:pre_miRNA from 1 species
UUGGUUUGUCCUAAGUUAAACUUGUUCAACUUUGACUACAUUAUAAAAAAAUAUAGCAACAAUUAUACUAUCAGACAUAUGCACUAUCAAAACAUAUACAUAUCCCAUGGUGGAUUCAACCAAACAAAUUUGGUAUUGUAAAUGUUGUUAUAUUUUUCUAUAAAUCUGGUCAACAUUAAACAAGUUUGACCUAGGACAAGCCAAA